ensembl:misc_RNA Y_RNA Y RNA
GGCUUGUCCAAAGGUAGUGAGUUAUCUCAGUAGAUUGUUUAGUCAGUUACAGAUUGAAUACAGAUUGAACUUCUUGAUCUACUCUUUCCUGCUUCUCACUACUGCACUUGAAUAGUCUUAA